rnacentral:rRNA from 1 species
UACGUAGGCAGCAAGCGUUGUUCGGAGUUACUGGGCGUAAAGGGUGCGUAGGCGGUCCUAUAAGUAUGGUGUGAAAUCUCCCGGCUUAACUGGGAGGGUGCGCUAUAGACUGUGGGACUAGAGUGUGGGAGAGGAAAGUGGAAUUCCUGGUGUAGCGGUGAAAUGCGUAGAUAUCAGGAGGAACACCGGUGGUGUAAACGGCUUUCUGGACCAUAACUGACGCUGAGGCACGAAAGCGUGGGGGAGCGAACCGG